UACGAAGGGGGGCUAGCGUUGCUCGGAAUCACUGGGCGUAAAGGGUGCGUAGGCGGGUCUUUUAAGUCAGGGGUGAAAUCCUGGAGCUCAACUCCAGAACUGCCUUUGAUACUGAAGAUCUUGAGUUCGGGAGAGGUGAGUGGAACUGCGAGUGUAGAGGUGAAAUUCGUAGAUAUUCGCAAGAACACCAGUGGCGAAGGCGGCUCACUGGCCCGGAUACUGACGCUGAUGCACGAAAGCUAGGGGAGCAAACAGG
rnacentral:rRNA from 1 species